UACGUAGGGUGCGAGCGUUACUCGGAAUUACUGGGCGUAAAGCGUGCGCAGGCGGUGCUGUAAGACAGGCGUGAAAUCCCCGGGCUUAACCUGGGAAUGGCGCUUGUGACUGCAGUGCUGGAGUGUGGCAGAGGGGGAUGGAAUUCCGCGUGUAGCAGUGAAAUGCGUAGAUAUGCGGAGGAACACCGAUGGCGAAGGCAAUCCCCUGGGCCUGCACUGACGCUCAUGCA
rnacentral:rRNA from 1 species